rnacentral:rRNA from 1 species
GGAUCAUCAGGUUGGUCGUGCCUCUGGUAUGUACUUGCUUCGAUGGUCCCUCCUUCUUGAAGAACCGUAAUGCCAUUAAUUUGUUGUUGCGGGGAAACAGGACUGUUACUUUGAAAAAAUUAGAGUGUUUAAAGCAGGCAUUUUGCUCGAAUACAUUAGCAUGGAAUAAUAAAAUAGGACGGUUGGUUCUAUUUUGUUGGUUUCUAGGAUCACCGUA